AAGAUUUUAAGUUAAAUUUAAACUAUUAACCUUCAAAGUUAAAUAUAUAUAUAUAUAUAUAAAUAUUUAAAUCUUA
rnacentral:tRNA from 1 species